CUACGGGUCGCUCCAGUGAGGAAUAUUGCACAAUGGGGGGAACCCUGAUGCAGCAACGCCGCGUGGAGGAUGACGCAUUUCGGUGUGUAAACUCCUUUUAUAUGUCAAGAAAAUGACGGUAGCAUAUGAAUAAGCACCGGCUAACUCCGUGCCAGCAGCCGCGGUAAUACGGAGGGUGCAAGCGUUACUCGGAAUCACUGGGCGUAAAGGACGCGUAGGCGGGUUGGAAAGUCAGGUGUGAAAUCCUACAGCUUAACUGUAGGACUGCACCUGAAACUUCUAAUCUAGAGUAUGGGAGGGGGAGAUGGAAUUAGUGGUGUAGGGGUAAAAUCCGUAGAUAUCACUAGGAAUACCUAAAGCGAAGGCGAUCUCCUGGAACAUUACUGACGCUAAGGCGCGAAAGCGUGGGGAGCAAACAGGAUUAGAUACCCGAGUAGUC
rnacentral:rRNA from 1 species